AAGUGAGAGGAAGACCAGUACCUAUAACUAAUGGUGAAAUCAACAGCGGUAGUAGUAACUCACACUGUCUAUCAAUGACAUUGUUAGUUACACUAGCUCAUGAAAACACUGUCUCUCCCUUGCUUCGUAUCAAAUCGCUAUCACUUAGCGAAGAUGAUGAUGGCCUUGGCAACAAUGAUUCAAAAACUAUAGCGGUAGAGGAGGAAAGUCAAAUGUUCAAUUCAUUUUCUUUCGAGGAUUAUGCAUGGAGAGUUUAUCACGAACGUCUUAUUCUUAAGGAUCCUCUUGUGAGAUACCGUGUUUGAUUAUUACUACUGUUGUUAUUGGCUUCGGUUUGGAUCGGAUCGGAGUUACCAAUUAGCAUGAGAAAUGGUAGAAAGUAUCAAAGUAUGUUGAUGCUUUAGUUUGUAUGGAUCUCACUCUUUUCAUUUAUUCAUUUGUUUUGGGUUUCUUUUUGGUUCAUGUUAAGGCUGCUGCUGUUUGAUUCUCCUUGUACUUUAGAAAUGGAGUGAAAUGUUA
rnacentral:misc_RNA from 1 species